GUAGUCCACGCCGUAAACGAUGGAUACUAGGUGUAGGAGGUAUCGACCCCUUCUGUGCCGGAGUUAACACAAUAAGUAUCCCACCUGGGGAGUACGGCCGCAAGGUUGAAACUCAAAGGAAUUGACGGGGGCCCGCACAAGCAGUGGAGUAUGUGGUUUAAUUCGAAGCAACGCGAAGAACCUUACCAGGGCUUGACAUCCCUCUGACAGGCUUAGAGAUAAGUCCUCUCUUCGGAGCAGAGGAGACAGGUGGUGCAUGGUUGUCGUCAGCUCGUGUCGUGAGAUGUUGGGUUAAGUCCCGCAACGAGCGCAACCCUGUUGUUAGUUGCCAGCAUUUAGUUGGGCACUCUAGCAAGACUGCCGGUGAUAAAUCGGAGGAAGGUGGGGACGACGUCAAAUCAUCAUGCCCUUAUGUCCUGGGCUACACACGUACUACAAUGGCGAUGACAGAGGGAAGCAAGACCGCAAGGUGGAGCAAAUCCCCAAAAGUUGCCCCAGUUCAGAUUGCAGGCUGAAACUCGCCUGCAUGAAGUCGGAAUUGCUAGUAAUGGCAGGUCAGCAUACUGCCGUGAAUACGUUCCCGGGCCCUUGUACACACCGCCCCGUCAUACCAUGAGAGCUGACAACACCCGAAGUCGGUAGUUUAACCGUAAGGAGGACGCCGCCGAAGGUGGGGUUGGUGAUUGGGGUGAAGCCGUAACAAGGUAGCCGUAUCGGAAGG
rnacentral:rRNA from 1 species